rnacentral:rRNA from 1 species
UGGCUCAGAUUGAACGCUGGCGGAAUGCUUACACAUGCAAGUCGAACGGUAGGAGGGGCAACCCUUGAGAGUGGCGAACGGGUGAGUAAUAUAUCGGAACGUGCCCAGUCGUGGGGAAUAACGUAGCGAAAGUUACGCUAAUACCGCAUACGAUCUAAGGAUGAAAGCGGGGGAUCGCAAGACCUCGCGCGAUUGGAGCGGCCGAUAUCAGAUUAGGUAGUUGGUGAGGUAAAGGCUCACCAAGCCAACGAUCUGUAGCUGGUCUGAGAGGACGACCAGCCACACUGGAACUGAGACACGGUCCAGACUCCUACGGGAGGCAGCAGUGGGGAAUUUUGGACAAUGGACGCAAGUCUGAUCCAGCCAUUCCGCGUGCAGGAUGAAGGCCCUCGGGUUGUAAACUGCUUUGUACGGAACGAAACGGUGAGCUCUAAUACAGUUUGCUAAUGACGGUACCGUAAGAAUAAGCACCGGCUAACUACGUG